UACGUAGGGGGCUAGCGUUGUCCGGAAUCAUUGGGCGUAAAGGGCGCGUAGGCGGCCCGGUAAGUCCGCUCUGAAAGUCAAAGGCUCAACCUUUGAAAGCGGGUGGAUACUGCCGGGCUAGAGUCCGGAAGAGGCGAGUGGAAUUCCUGGUGUAGCGGUGGAAUGCGCAGAUAUCAGGAGGAACACCAGUGGCGAAGGCGGCUCACUGGCCUGGUAUUGACGCUGAGGUGCGAAAGCGUGGGGAGCAAACAGG
rnacentral:rRNA from 1 species